CAUAUCAAUAAGCGGAGGAAAAGAAACCAACCGGGAUUGCCUUAGUAACGGCGAGUGAAGCGGCAAAAGCUCAAAUUUGAAAUCUGGUACCUUCGGUGCCCGAGUUGUAAUUUGGAGAGGGCAACUUUGGGGCCGUUCCUUGUCUAUGUUCCUUGGAACAGGACGUCAUAGAGGGUGAGAAUCCCGUGUGGCGAGGAGUGCGGUUCUUUGUAAAGUGCCUUCGAAGAGUCGAGUUGUUUGGGAAUGCAGCUCUAAGUGGGUGGUAAAUUCCAUCUAAAGCUAAAUAUUGGCGAGAGACCGAUAGCGAACAAGUACAGUGAUGGAAAGAUGAAAAGAACUUUGAAAAGAGAGUGAAAAAGUACGUGAAAUUGUUGAAAGGGAAGGGCAUUUGAUCAGACAUGGUGUUUUGUGCCCUCUGCUCCUUGUGGGUAGGGGAAUCUCGCAUUUCACUGGGCCAGCAUCAGUUUUGGUGGCAGGAUAAAUCCAUAGGAAUGUAGCUUGCCUCGGUAAGUAUUAUAGCCUGUGGGAAUACUGCCAGCUGGGACUGAGGACUGCGACGUAAGUCAAGGAUGCUGGCAUAAUGGUUAUAUGCCGCCCGUCUUGAAACACGGACC
rnacentral:rRNA from 1 species